rnacentral:rRNA from 1 species
GAUGAACGCUGGCGGCGUGCCUAAUACAUGCAAGUCGAGCGAACGGACGAGAAGCUUGCUUCUCUGAUGUUAGCGGCGGACGGGUGAGUAACACGUGGAUAACCUACCUAUAAGACUGGGAUAACUUCGGGAAACCGGAGCUAAUACCGGAUGAUAUUUUGAACCGCAUGGUUCAAAAGUGAAAGACGGUCUUGCUGUCACUUAUAGAUGGAUCCGCGCUGCAUUAGCUAGUUGGUAAGGUAACGGCUUACCAAGGCAACGAUGCAUAGCCGACCUGAGAGGGUGAUCGGCCACACUGGAACUGAGACACGGUCCAGACUCCUACGGGAGGCAGCAGUAGGGAAUCUUCCGCAAUGGGUGAAAGCCUGACGGAGCAACGCCGCGUGAGUGAUGAAGGUCUUCGGAUCGUAAAACUCUGUUAUUAGGGAAGAACAUAUGUGUAAGUAACUGUGCACAUCUUGACGGUACCUAAUCAGAAAGCCACGGCUAACUACAUG